AAAAUCCUCUAACCGGAAGUCUCCGAUUGUUGCCAGCUUCACGGAGCGGUUCGCUGAUGUUAUCAGCUGCUUUGUCACAAAUGUAGUAUUCGGGUUGCUUCAAAGAGAAAACAAUGCCAGUAAAAAGAGCGCUUCAUUUAGAAGAGAAGGAAAACCAGACACCAUCAAAGAGACCUGUGCCAGAGGGGACCUAUUCUCCAUUGACUGGUACAGGCUUUUUGAGCCCUGCCCCAUCUCCUAAAGGUCAUUUUAAAGCCCGAGGAAAGACUGAUAAUCCCUCUAAAACACAAAAACCCCAGACAGAUGCAGAAAAAUUACAAGCCUUAAGAUCUCAGAUUGAAAGAUCAGUGAAAGGUUUUGAAAAGGCAAGACAGCAACUGGAAAAAAUAGUGCCUACAGAGGGCAGUAGUGAGCUGAAGAUAUUCUUCUCCAGAGGCUCUGCUGACCUGCAGUCUGAACUGCGCAGAAACAGGGAGCUGGUUGCCCAAGUGGAAGCCCAUCUUAAGGGGAGUGGUGCCUGCUCACACCCAUUUUAAGGUUGGGCACAUCCAGGGACUUUCCGUGGCCCAUGGGGACCCGUUUCAAAAUUCUAUCAUGAGGUUCCCUCCGCUCCUUUAACCACUGCCCCACAUGCCCAUAUGAGCCUACAGCACUUGAAUUUCCACGCCGCCAAGGCUUAAAUAAAUGCUGAACAUUAUUCACAAAAAAAAAAACCUCAGAAAGCUAUGUAUUUGUUCUUUCAAGAAUUCAUCACUGGGUUUAGAAGCUUGCUAUACGUUUCCAGAGCUUUUGGGAGGCAUGAAGCUCGUUCUGAGGAACAUGUAAAAUCUAUGUAUUAAUUUCAAAAAAAGCUUUAAGAAAUUUAACGUGCCUGGAGAAAGAAAAACUGGUAGUUACAAAUGCAAUUUAGGAAUUAAGAACGGACAAUUAUACAAUUUAAACAUUUUUAAACAGGUUAUGACACAUCCCAAACAUUUAAGAUAAGCCUAUAAAACGUAACAUACACGCCUAAAAAUAAAUGGACAGUGGUUACAUGAAAAUUGAUUGAUUAUAUGUGACUACGCCUGAUUAAGUUAAAGACGUCACAUAUACUUAGUAACUGCAUUAAGCCUUUGUCCAUAAUGUUUUAUUAAUUAAGCUAAAUCAAACUUUACUUUAUGAAGUAAACAAUUUAUUUAUAUACAUUUAUACAUUUGAGUGUAGGGAAGACCGGGGAUAAUUGUAACACUUUCUGUUCCAACAUGUAUACCUCAAUGAGUGUUUGUGCUAGAGCUGUCAAACUUUGAUAAAAGCUACCCAUAUUUGUCUGCUAUAUAUAUUAGUCAUUUAGACAUCUACUACAAUAUCACAGAUUGUGUGAGUAAAUGUAAAAUACAGAGUUCCACUGUUACAACCUACCCCACCACUGGGGUGAGUUGUAGUGCUAGCAGGGGAUGGAUAUAACAGGAACAGAAUGUUUGCUUAAAUUUCACAAUGUGAAAUUUACAUGAGAACUUUAAUGAAAAAUGUUUGAAUAUGGCUAAAAUACUUUUUUUUUUUUCAAUAAAACAAAUUAAAAAGACUUAUUCUUAAACAUGGAAUAUACAAUUGCCCAUUUCUAACAUUAGUAACAUUUGAGAACUUAAAAUUCGUUUUACAAAUAUAAAUAUCUUAAAAAAAAAAAAAUAAUAUCACACUUUUGUCAAAUAAAUUGCACUUUUUAGUCUUUAAACUGAAAACUCCUUUAAAAAAUCUCUAUUCAAACCAACAUAGCAGUGUGUGUACGUGUGCGCGUGUGUGAGAGAAAGUGAGUGAAUAUGUCAGCUGACUGCCCUUGUACAUACAAGAGUGCUUUUUAGUAUAUUCACCAGGUUUAGUAAAUCUACCUGUUUUUCCCCUUUCAUUGCCAAGGCAUGCUGAUAAAUAAAUAAAUAAAUGCCAAAACAAUCAAUUUUAGUUAACAUUAGUCUACAUGUCCCGCUGUAACGUUUGCCCUGUUUUCUUUUUAGUUCUUAUAUAGAACUAUGAGCAGUCCUCACACUUAGAGAAUUAAGAAAUAUCACAAGCUAGCCUGGAAAUCACCAUGGUCACGUGAUUUCAGUAGCAAUCGACAGCAAAAUAGCUUGUUGAAUUGUAAGCUCACCUAGUUGAGUGGCCAACAAAUAGGCCUAUAGCAAUGAACAUUUUUGAUAGCACUAUUGUUUGCAGAUGUCUUUUAUAUUUGUUGUGGGUGCAUUUGGGUUCAGAAAAACAAUCAUGUAUAACAAGGAGAAUGACAAUGGCUGUAAUUGUUAUCUUCAUUUUUCAUCCAUUGUUCAUAUGGUAGUUAUCUAACCAAUUGACUCAAAAAUUACUCUUAAAACAAAGUAUGAAAACACAAGACCUACAAGCUGUGAUCACAUUGACUGGCUUAGCUAAAACUCUGGGCUUUAUCCAAAUAGCGAGUGUAAAUAGCCCAAUAGUUCUGACACGAUUAGAUGCUGUUGCAACCUGUGUUUUGAUCUGGGGUACUUUGCAAAGAACCAUGUAAACUGAUCAAAUGUGAAAACACCCACAUCCGUAAGAGCUUAUUUAUUGUAGUCUUGCCUACAACCUCUGAGCCAAGUUAGAGGGCCAAUGGAUUUUGUGCAUUACAUGUUUGCAUUUUACACUCCAGUGCAAAGACAUACAAACAACAUGUUCUGUGUGCUAAACUCCCAUCAGGAAACUGUCACUCUUCAGUCUAACACGGUGUGUUCCAGCCGGCACUGAAACUGACCUCUGAACUCAAUCAUACAUACACUAUGACAGCAAAUAGACUCAGUGUUCUGGGGCCAUAAUUUGACAGGAUUCCCACCAUCAAUGUUUUCAAAUGACCAAAGUAUCCCAACCACUCAUCCCAAAAUGUGCCUCAUUAUAGAGGACCUUUGGUUGUGUGAAGCACAUAGAACUCUGCAGUUGCAUCUGGAGGUGCAGGAGUGCGCCAGCAAGAAAUCACAAGGGACCUCGGUCCACUUGCCCAUAAGGACCCCGUGCGAGAUGUCAGCAAUCUAGUCAGGUUUAGCUCGUAUGAUGAAUUCUCCAAACAGUUGCAAUUGAUCGUUCCUCUCGGUUUUUUUCUCUGUUAUCUAAUUGCACCGGAAUUUUAUUGAGGUUUUUUAUUGAUCCCUCUUCUAGUUUUCCACCCAACUAUUUUAAUGAACAAUAUAAUGGCUACUCUUGCACUGGUUUUAUAACGGGUUUGUUGGUAGGGUAACCUAUAAAAUCAAAACAAAAUCAAAUUUAUAAGUAAUCUCUGCACAUGGACAAAAACAUGAAAAACAUGAUGCCUGUUUUCUAGCAUAUUAAGAGAUGGAUUUCAUCUAGUGAUAAAGCAUUUAUAAUCUGUAGACCAUCUACAAAACUAUUUAAAAAUAUAUUUUGUAUUUCUUUGUAUUUGAAUUUAAUUGAAUAACAACCAUACCAUAUUUAUUUUUUAUUUCAUUUUGUUUUGUUGAUAAUGUGGAUUGUCUAUAAUGUGAUGUUAGAAUGUCUUUUCUUGUCUUGUCUUUUGUGUGGACCCCAGGAAGAAUAGUUGUUACUGAGGUAAUAACUAAUGGGGAUCCUAAAUAAAUAAAUAAAUAAAUACCUUUACAUUCUGCAACUUAUAAGGGUUAAUGAUAUUAAAUUCAGAUUGGUUUGAUCCUUUCAUUUUUCAACACAUUCACAUGUUGUUUUAUUCAUUCACUUAGAGCACAUUUGAUUUUAGUGUCAGUCAAUGCAAAACUGGAAAUAUUGCAUAUAACUAUGGAAUGACCACACAUGACUCCUUAUUAACCAUUCAGCUAUUGAGAUCAUUAUAAAAAAACAGAGACAAGAUUUAUGUAUCCAAAAUAUAAUGUAUGGAAAUAUAAGAUUAUUCCAAUAUUUUUACAUUUGUGUAGAGAUUACAUAAAUGAACAUACAUUAAAAAAUUAUAUAAUCUGUCUUCUGAACUAAGAGUUCUUAAAAAAUACGAAGUAUUUUGUUGAAAGUACAGUUUACAAAGUGUUUUGCACAAAAUCUGUACUUUAAGUUGUCUUUAAAUUGAAUAGCGUAACCUAAAGGAAAAUAUCUUUUUGCAGCAACAUAAACAAACACAACCAGUUAUAUGCAAAGUAUGAAGUCGUGCAGAAAAACAUCAAUAUUUUACGUCUCCAAAGAUUUCCCUUUAAAGAGGCAAUCAAUGCCUCCUAUUCACUGUCUGCUUGUGUGUCUUUUCUGCUUGGCCUUUGUAAUCAGCAAAGCAUUCUCCUCUUUCGAGUCCCACAAAACUUCUGUGCCCUGUACUUUUACAAAUGCCUCCUGGCUAUAAAUACUAAUGAAAUCUCUUUGCUUAAUUUGAUUUUGCUGGUACACUUGCAGUUAUGACUGAACUUUCCCAUGAGAGAAACCGAUUUUCACGUCCUUAUGGAAGGGAGAAAACAUUCCACAGAACCGAAGAGAUCAUUUCCAUAAUUACCCAAUUGGCAGCCUAAUGACCCUCUAGAACAAUAAAAAGAUCUCUUGUUAAUUCCAUUUCGGUCGCUGACAUUCAAGAGAUCCCUAUCUUACAUGUUGAGGUUCACAAGAUAACAAGUGUACUUUCUUUUUGGCCAAAGAGCAGUCCAUUCAAUUAGCCCUGACACAUCGCUGAGUGGGGAUGAAGGGAUCCGGGUGUGCUUUAACAUGUCGUCCUCAACCCAAAAUUGGAUUAUUUAUGGGCUUUAGAGAUUAUAAAGAUGGAUAUUCGAGGCAAUCAAUUUUCAUGUUGCAUUUUGAAUGGAGAGAUCGAAAUGAAGUGCAGAAUAAUUAAAAAGAUCACAAGUCCCCCCUCGCAUGUAAUUAUGACCCCCCACCCCCCAUUGUGCUGCAGGUCUGCCUUUGAUUUCACUGAGAGCAGUCCCAGCCUAGUCCUCACAUCCGCACACAAUGGCUGUUUUCAGCGUGGGGAUGUUUUAAAUAGCUGUGACCGUCAAUAUGUAUACUUCUCCUAGACAAGAUUGUUAGCAGCUUGUGUUGUCCAGGCAAGGUUUAACAGUGUUUCAAGGUUGUAAUGUUUUUAAUAAGCAUUAGUAUGAAAAAACUGAUGACAGGAUUUAAUUAGAAUUUUUAAAAUCAUUGGUGUGUUUGCAAGUGCAAUAAAUAAAGUUUACCACAUGUGG